rnacentral:misc_RNA from 1 species
CAGUUGGGUAUGAGGAUCCUCGGGUGACACUCCAUGUUGGUGAUGGAGUUGCUUUUUUAAAGGAUGUUCCUGCAGGAACAUAUGAUGCAAUUAUAGUAGAUUCUUCUGACCCAAUAGGUCCUGCACAAGAGCUUUUUGAGAAACCAUUUUUUGAGUCAGUAGCAAAGGCUCUUCGCCCUGGAGGGGUUGUGUGUACUCAGGCAGAAAGUAUAUGGCUUCAUAUGAACAUCAUCGAGGAGAUUGUUGCAAACUGCCGUCAAAUCUUCAAAGGCUCUGUCAACUAUGCGUGGACAACUGUUCCGACUUAUCCAAGUGGGGUAAUAGGUUUCAUGCUUUGCUCUACUGAGGGACCUGAAGUUGAUUUCAAGCAUCCAGUGAAUCCCAUAGAUGCUAAUGAUAGCAAAUCAAAGAGACCUCUGAAAUUUUACAAUCCAGAGAUUCAUACAGCUGCCUUCUGUUUGCCAUCUUUCGCAAAGAAGGUGAUUGAUUCAAAAGCUAAAUGAAGGAAUUUUGAAGAAAACUGAAGGAGCAGCAGUAAAAACUUUGCUGUAGAGUGUCCAGCCUUCACUAUUACCAACAUAGUCAUUCCGUCUGGCAUUGAGCCAUGGAAUAAGUUGAGGUUUUUAAGUUAUUUUCAGGGUUCGUUUUAUUACGAAAAGCUCGUACUUUUAUUCUUGUUUAUGAGAUCUUUCUCCAUUCCUUAUAAUUAGAAAGAGUAUGCAAAUUUUUUAAGAAGGAAUUCGACGACCUUAAAAUUUCCUUG